rnacentral:rRNA from 1 species
AGCGGAGGAAAAGAAACUAACAAGGAUUCCCCUAGUAACGGCGAGUGAAGCGGGAACAGCUCAAAUUUUAANUCUGGCUGCUUCGCAGUCCGAGUUGUAAUUUGAAGGCGUCUGUCGCAUGUGAGACGAUGGCACAAGUCCUCUGGAACGUGGCAUCGUAGAGGGUGAGAAUCCCGUCUCUGGUCGUUGUCUUGCAGGCACACGGCAGGCGAUCCGAAGAGUCGAGUUGUUUGGGAUUGCAGCUCCAAAUGGGUGGUAAACUCCAUCUAAGGCUAAAUAUUGGCGAGAGACCGAUAGCGAACAAGUACCGUGAGGGAAAGAUGAAAAGAACUUUGAAAAGAGAGUAAAACAGUACGUGAAAUUGUUGAAAGGGAAACGCUUGAAGUCAGUCGUGCCGGCGGGGAUUCAGCGAACUUCGCGGAGUGAGCGUAUUUCCUCGCAUGGCAGGUCAGCGUCAGUUUUGCGCGUCGUGAAAGGGCUCGGGUAAGGUGACUCUCUUCGGGGAGUGUUAUAGGCCUGAGCAGAUGCGAUGCGCGGGACUGAGGAUUGCAGCGGACACCCUUCGGGGCGCGGCGACCGAUCCCUGCUCUGUCACCUUCGUCCGAUAGCGUGCUAACGGUCGGGGGAGCGGCGGUUGCACCGGGUUGGCAAGCCGGCGGCUNCGCUAAGGAUGCUGGCGUAAUGGCUUUAAACGACC